AUUGAACGCUGGCGGCAGGCCUAACACAUGCAAGUCGAACGAGUGGCGGACGGGUGAGUAAUGUCUGGGAAACUGCCUGAUGGAGGGGGAUACCUACUGGAAACGGUAGCUAAUACAGCAUACCAUCGGAUGUGCCCAGAUGGGAUUAGCUAGUAGGUGGGGUAACGGCUCACCUAGGCGACGAUCCCUAGCUGGUAUGAGAGGAUGACCAGCCACACUGGAACGGAGACAGGGUCCAGACUCCUACGUGAGGCAGCAGUGGGGAAUAUGGCACAAUGGGCGCAAGCCUGAUGCAGCCAUGCCGCGUGUAUGAAGAAGGCCUUCGGGUUGUACAGUACUUGCAGCGGGGAGGCUUUACCCGCAGAAGAAGCACCUGCUAACUCCGUGCCAGCAGCCGCGGUAAUUC
rnacentral:rRNA from 1 species